rfam:Ictidomys tridecemlineatus contig085999, whole genome shotgun sequence.
AGGGUUGUGGCUCAGUGGUAGAGUGCUUGCCUAGCAUGCCUGAAGCACUGGGUUCAAUUCCCGGCACCACAU